rnacentral:misc_RNA from 1 species
GAUGAAGAACGUAGCGAAAUGCGAUAAGUAAUGUGAAUUGCAGAAUUCAGUGAAUCAUCGAAUCUUUGAACGCACAUUGCGCCCGCCAGUAUUCUGGCGGGCAUGCCUGUUCGAGCGUCAUUUCAACCAUCAAGCCCCCGGCUUGUGUUGGGGACCUGCGGCUGCCGCAGGCCCUGAAAAGCAGUGGCGGGCUCGCUGUCACACCGAGCGUGGUAGCAUACAUCUCGCUCUGGGCGUGCUGCGGGUUCCGGCCGUUAAACCACCUUCAUAACCCAAGGUUGACCUCGGAUCAGGUAGGAAGACCCGCUGAACUUAAGCAUAUCAAUAAGCGGAGGA